AUUCUCACUACUUUGCUCUCAAGAAAUUGCAGUACAAUCUGAAUUACUUUUUGGAUGAACUGGGUGUCUACCAGUGUUACACCACUAGUUCUCAGUAGUAAUAACACUCCAUUUCAUGUCUCUCAGUAGAUGAAGCCAGCUGCAACCCGUAGAGUGGAGUCGUGGAGAGAGCCCCUCGCCCCUCAGCUAAACCAGAGUAAAUGAAGCCAGCACCAACCUGUGGAGUGGAGUCCAGGAGAGAGCAUGCCGCCCCUCAGCUAAACCAGAUCAGAUAAAGCCAACUGGAAC